CUUUCUUUUCCAGAUAUUCACCCCUAUUUUAUUUCAUAUUUGUUGCUGUAGAUUCAUUUUUACAACUAAUUAUUCUCGCUUUUAUGAAAUUUCACUUUUUCACCAUCACUGUUGAAUUUCACGUUAGUUAUACUACCAAUUGAUAGAUGUUUUCUUGUGUUCGGUUUAGCUUAUUGAAUCAUUUGGUUUUUCAAAGAUAUAGUACAAUAUUUGUGAAGUAAUUUUUGUUUAAAGUUAGUGCAGUCAAAAUUUGGGGUUAAUUUUUGGUUUUGGGUCCUUUUUUAUAGUGAUAGACUACUGAAGUUUUCAAUAGCGUAAAGAUUUCAGGUCAAAAUCAAGUUUAUGACUUCAAUUUUCAUCUAACAAUGAAACAACGGAUUUGUCUCUCUCUUGAUUUAACAGUUUCCACUACUAGUAUGUCGUACUUUUCAUCCAUCCCUCUUGUGCUAUUGCUAUUGUUAGUAGUUGGGUUAAUCCAAUGGUUAAAAGCCAAAACAAUGGAAUAUUCCAAAAAUCUGAUAUUUGAAAUUGUUACGAGUUCUAACUAUGAACAGUGUUGUUCUCCGUAGAAGUUGUCUUAAUAAGAUUCCUGUAAAAUUUAUUCAGAUUUUUUUAACUAUUGUGUCAGCUUGAUCAAAGAGGAAUCACACAAGGAGCAAGAAGUUCUCAUGCUAUUGCUGUAGUAGGGCAAAAGGUCUAUGCAUUCGGGGGCGAGUUUGUGCCACGUGUCCCUGUUGAUAACAAGUUACACGUGUACGACCUAGAUACCUUGACAUGGUCAGUAGCCGAUGUAUCUGGCAGCAUCCCGCCGCCACGUGUUGGUGUCACAAUGGCUGCAGUUGGAGAAACCAUCUAUGUAUUUGGUGGAAGAGAUGUUGAACACACAGAACUCAAUGAGCUCUAUUCUUUUGAUACUAAGACCAACACUUGGGCCUUGAUUUCAAGAGGAGAUAUUGGGCCUCCUCACCGGAGUUACCAUUCCGUGACAGCCGAUGACCGACAUGUGUAUGUUUUCGGCGGCUGUGGGGUCACUGGAAGGCUCAAUGAUUUAUGGGCGUUUGAUGUUGUUGAUGGCAAGUGGGUGGAAUUUCCAUCUCCCGGUGAAACUUGCAAGGGAAGAGGUGGGCCGGGCCUAACAGUUUCCCAAGGAAAAAUAUGGGUUGUUUAUGGUUUUGCGGGAAUGGAAGUCGAUGACGUGCAUUGCUUUGAUCUGGCUCAUAAAACAUGGGCCCAAGUGGAAACAGGUGGGCUCAAACCGACUGCUCGUAGUGUGUUUUCAACUUGUUUGACUGGGAAACACAUAAUUGUAUAUGGUGGGGAAAUAGACCCUAGUGACCAAGGUCAUAUGGGUGCUGGUCAAUUUUCUGGCGAGGUUUAUGCAUUAGACACCGAGACAUUAUCAUGGGCAAGGCUGGACGAUAAGGUGGAAUCCGGUGGCCAUCC
rnacentral:lncRNA from 1 species